UUUUAGAGUUCAUUAAACAGAAGCAUGUAAGAUAAAGCACAUGUAGUUCUCAACACUUCUGAGUGUUCAUAAGAGUUUUAAUUAAAGAACCCCUUUAGGUAUGGUUACACAUAGAAAUCUCAUCCAGGUGAACUCGAACCAUAACUGUUAAGAUUUUUAUAUUAAGAUGAGCAAAAACAGAUAAGCAGUACCUCUGGAAAUUUAUGUUUUAAUGAAUACCUACCUACCUGUAUC
rnacentral:lncRNA from 1 species